GUGUCAGCCGCCGCGGUAAUACAGGGGGUGCAAACGUUGCUCGGAAUCAUUGGGCGUAAAGCGCGCGUAGGCGGUCAUCUAAGUCGGAUGUGAAAGCCCUUGGCUUAACUGAGGAAGUGCAUCCGAAACUGAAUGGCUUGAGUACCAAAGAGGGUCGCGGAAUUCCCGGUGUAGAGGUGAAAUUCGUAGAUAUCGGGAGGAACACCGGUGGCGAAGGCGGCGACCUGGGUGGAAACUGACGCUGAGGCGCGAAAGCGUGGGGAGCAAACAGGAUUAGAAACCCCCGUAGUCC
rnacentral:rRNA from 1 species